rnacentral:rRNA from 1 species
AACGAACGCUGGCGGCAGGCCUAACACAUGCAAGUCGAACGCUCGUAGCAAUACGAGAGUGGCAGACGGGUGAGUAACACGUGGGAACCUUCCCUAUGGUUCGGAAUAGCCCAGGGAAACUUGGGGUAAUACCGGAUAAGCCCUUCGGGGAAGAUUUAUCGCCAUUGGAUGGGCCCGCGUCGGAUUAGCUAGUUGGUGAGGUAACGGCUCACCAAGGCGACGAUCCGUAGCUGGUCUGAGAGGAUGAUCAGCCACACUGGGACUGAGACACGGCCCAGACUCCUACGGGAGGCAGCAGUGGGGAAUAUUGGACAAUGGGCGCAAGCCUGAUCCAGCCAUGCCGCGUGAGUGACGAAGGCCUUAGGGUUGUAAAGCUCUUUUUGGCGGGGAAGAUAA